rnacentral:lncRNA from 1 species
AUUCCUUUUUUUUCUUUUCUGUGUGGGCAUUUAGUUGUUUUAGCCCUAUUUGCUGAAUAGACCUUUUUAUUUUAAAACACAUAUAUAUAUAUAAAUAUAUAAAACACUGAAGGAUAUGCUUGAAUGGUGGUUCUAUUUUUUACCUCUGAUAUUUUCUAAGUGUUUCUAUAAUUAGCAUGAGUGAGCAGCAGUCUGUGAGUGAGUAGACACAAUAUGGUGAAGAAUGACAGCGAAAAUAAACGCAGUAGAAGCAGAGACUGAGAGAAGCUGGCCUGUGAAAGAGGGCUCGGCAGAUUAUGUUGCUGAGAGGGUGAUGGAUACUCAGUCCCCCAUUUGUCGAUUUCUGAACUGCCCUGCAGAGCCUGGAGGCCUCGCUUCAUUGUGGGUCCUCUUCUUCUCUGUGGUCUAGUCCAACAGUUGAGAAAUGCGUAUUUUUUGCUUCCACAUCCACCCUUAGAACAAACCCCCAUUACUUUAGACAACUUGAGUGGGUCUCUGUUUCUUGCAACUUACAGGAAACUUACCAGCAAACAGGCACACAGAGGAAGUAGGCACCUAUUUAUGGGGUAAGGAUGAAGGACUAAGGAAAAACACAUGGGUCCCAAAACUCCUCCUCCGGGAUUUGGCCUCCAUGAGCGAAAUCAGAGCUACGUCUUUUACUGUAACAUUAUAUUUCUGUUAGUUGUAAAUAUAUUGCUAAGAUCAAAGGAUAACAUAUUAUUAGCCAUUUAUUCAUUUUAAAAUUUAUUUUUCAUAUUUUGCAGCUCAGAGACCAGAGUUCUGAAAACAAAUAAAUUCUGAUUUGGGAGAUGGCAAAAGGUCACCGAAGCUGAAUUUUGCAUCCUUGAGACAUAGCACACCAUGGUUAGGGUCAUGGGCUGAGGCAUCAGAAUGCCUGGGUUUUAAGGCCAGCUCCAUGGCUUUCUCAGCUGGGUGACCUCAAGCAGUUUACAAGGCCUCCUUAAGCCUCAAUCCGUUCUUCUGCAAACAGGGCCGACUGGGAGGUUUCUGUCAGGUAAGGUGCCUGGCACAGAGGAAGUGCUCUGCAACUGCCAGCUCAUCUCAUUGCUCCCCAAUACUCCCAGCGCUCAUGCCAGGGGGCCUGGCGGCCUCGUGUGCACGCAUGCCUGAAUUUUCAGGCUCAUUGUUCCCUUUGCGAGGAGGGCCUCCCAUUUCACUGAGCCCUUGAGCCACCCCAUCUGUUCAGCUUUCUCUGUCUCC